UUCAGCUUUUUCAAAUUUUAGUACUGAAUACGUGCUUCACACACACGUAUUAGCAAGAAUUGUAGUUAACUUUAUUUCUUCAAUUGUACACCUUAAUUUUCUAGAUCCCCUUCCGAUAUCCCGUGAAUUAUUUCAGAAUUUAAUUCUGAUUUUCAGGUGCGUUUCUUAAAAUUCUUAUUUACCCCAUCUUUUUCACUAUCUUUUGGUAGCAUACAGCUCAUCAUGAAACGCUGCAUUUCAGACAGCAAUUUUUUUAUCGCUAUGAAAUGAGCGCGAAGUUCUGUUGCUACCGUUGCUACUCUGAUAUAUUGAUGUUGACAUUUAUCAAGAUCAAAUUCUUAUUAAAGCAAUAGUGUUUGAAUUUGAUGUAUUUCUGGGACCAUCUGCACAAAGAAAAAGAUGACAUAUUGUUGUGUAAUUGGCUGCAAAAACAGCUACAAAAAUAGAAUAGUGGAGCAUGCAGGUGAAGGCAGCAGUUGUCAAACAAGUGAAAAAAAAGUAAGAUAUUUCAAAACACCAAAAGAUGAGGAACUAUUUCAACAAAGGUCACAGAAGAUUCCUAGAAAGGCAGGCUCAAAAUUACAUGCUUCAUCCAAGGUUUGUGAUAACCAUUUUAUAGACCACGAAAUGGUUAAGCAAGAUGAAAUACUGAUUGGAGGAAAAGUGGUUUUCAAUCCUCGGACAUAUUGGAAACUAAAAAGUAAUGCUGUUCCUAGUAUUUUUGAAGGUAAUGAUUUGUUAUAGUUCAAUUAAAAAACAUGUUACAAUUGAUAAACAACUAUUUGUUUAUGAAUAACACAAUAGUAGUCGCUAGCACUUCUUCCAGAGUUAGGUAGAGCACAGAGCCAACUAUUAUGUAGAACGGGUAAUGUUUUGCUACGCUGUAAUAAAUCAUGUGUGUUGAAUAUUCUGCAAUUGGUGAAAUAGACAUGUUGAAACUGUG